AGGAAGAGGAACUAGACAGAUUCAGAGAAAUCUACCCUAACAAUGAGAGAAGAGGUGGAAGAUUUGGAUACAGGGAGGAUUCAGGGAAAUCUGAUCAGCAGGUGGAGGAAGAGAAGAGAGGGAUGGCAGAUCUGAAGUUACCUUUGAGCUCCAAGGAAGAAACUGUGAAGAGGUUGGAAGAGGAUCAGAGGGUUAGAGAUCUCAAGGGCAAAGAGGAUGUUGCGGUGCUUGCUCCCACCUUCGAUCUGAUCCAACAACAGCAGUGGUUUCGGGCCUUGAUGGCACAGAUGGCCCAAGAAAAGAUGGAAAUCUUGUCGGGGGAAGGAAAUGUUGUCCCCCCUGGAAGCAGUAGAAGUAAUAUGUCUGAUGAGACUAAGAAAGAGCUUGCUAGAGGGAAAGUUACCAUGGAAAAAAGUGAAGCUGACAUGGGUAUGGGGAAUAAGCAAGGGAAGAAGGGAUGGACUCAGAGCAACAAGUUUGGUCAGAGGGAGAGCUUGGAUCAAAACAAAGCUGGAGGUAAUUUCAGAGUGUUGUGCAACAAAUGCAAAGACACCAGGCAUCUGACCAGAGACUGCAAGUUACCCAAUUGUAUCAUCUGUGGCAAGAACUCUCACAUUACUGAGGAGUGUGCAUGGCUGAAGCAAAUCAAGCCAACCCCCAAGUUUAUUGGAUAUGCUGCCAGAGGCUUAGGUGUGUUGCUGGUGCAGAACUCAAAAGAGGUAGUCAAUAGUGAACAGACUAACCCUAUGGCCACUGUGAACAUACUCUUUUGGGGAGAUCAAUGAAACACAGUUCCUGGAGGGGUUCAAUUACAUGUUUAGCUAGAACUGGCAGUGGAGAUGCAAGAAACAUGGAGACAGAGCUUAUUUGAUGAGAUUCCCUAGCAAGAGAAGACUGGCAGAGCUCCACAAAUUUGGAAACUUCAACUUGCUGGGAACCAAUGCUAUGAUCAAUGUGGACAGUUGGACUUAUGACACUCAAGCUAUUGGCAAAUUGUACACAGUGUGGGUGCAGUUUGGGAAAUCCCUGAGUGUUUCAGACACUUUUUUGGAAUGUGUGAGGUGGCUGCUUCUGUUGGUCCUGUUUUGGAAAUUGAUAUGACCACUAUUCUGAAAGAGAAAAUCAGGGUUAAAGUGGGAGUCAGAGACUUUGAAAAAAAUCCCCCAUCACACUGAGAUUACUGACAAAGAUCUGAUGAUCUAUAGAAUCAAUAUUGAGUUGGAAGAGGUGAUUGAACAAGGUUGGUAUGAAGAAAAAAGAAAGUUUGAGAACAUGGAAACUGAACUUGAUUGAACAACAAUGGGGGGUCAGAAAAAAAAUCAAGAUUGGAGAAAUGGGUUCAGAUGGAAUUAAGGAAAACAUCUCUUUGGCAAGUGUGGGACUCAAACAAUUUGAGGAGAUGCAACAGAAAAAUGAGGAGAUAUUGAAGAUGCAGAAAGAUUACUUAAUGGAGGUGGGCUUGAUAAAUAAAGUUGAGGUUGAGCUAGAUAAAGCUCUAAAAAAAGUCCAAGAAGUUGAGGAAAUCAGAUGCAGGAAUGAUGCUUGGAGAGCUGUGGAAGAAAAAAAGACUACUAAUUGGGAAAUAGAGAAGAAGAGUUUGCUGAAAAUGAUCCAAGGCCAACAAGAGCUGAUAAACAAGUGCAUGGAAAAAAAUGAUGCUUGGGAAGAGAAAGAGAUCUAUGGGGAAGACUUGUGUGAAAUGAGCUUGAGGCUAAAAUGACCCAGGAUCAAAUGCCUGAAGAUGCAUAUGCAGAGCCUGUGGAUUAUUCAGCCAGUCAAGACUCAAUGGAAUCUCUAGGCACAAAAUUAGGAAUUCACAAGAAGGAGGAAGGAGACAAGGAUAAAGAUAAGGAUUGACCUACUAGAAGAAGUGAUAGAAACCUGGAUUAAAAAGAUGCUAAAAUAGAAGACCUGGCCAAGGAAAGGGCAGCUGAAAAGAAAAUUAUGAAAAGGUGCCCAGGGGAAAGAAUGUUGAUGCUGGGAACAAAACUCAUCGUGCAAGUAGCAAGUGAUGUCUACAAGGCUGCACAAGGUUGGCGUUUUGGAGUUCUCCGAAUCCAGCAGUGACAGGGAUGAAGACUUCUCCUUUUGGUGCUUCGGCGAAGUGAAGUGGGAAUCUGCGCAUGAGGCUCAUCUUUUGUGCCUACCUAUGUGUUGCAUUAUUUUUUGUAGUUUCUUGCUUGGCCUGGUUAUAAUUUGAGACUUCUCUGAGAUGUAAUAGAGCUAGCUUUUAUUUGCAGUGGUAAAAACAUAUCGGAUGU